UAACGGCAGCACGUGACUUCGGUCUGGUGGCGAGAGGCGAACGGCAGCAAUGAUCGAACGCUUAGUAGCGGAUAAUCUGAUGCUGAAAAGCGUAGCUUUAAUACCGCAUAAUAAUACCCUUCGGGGGAAAAAAAGUGGGACUCCUUCGGCCUCGCACCUGAUUAGCUACCGAUAUCGGAUUAGCUGAAGGUGGGGUAACGGCUCACCAAGGCGACGAUCCGUAGCUGGUUUGAGAGGACGACCAGCCACACUGGGACUGGAGACACGGCCCAGACUCCUACGGAGCAGCAGGGGAAUUUUGAUACUGGGGAAACCCUGAUCCAGCCAUCCUGCGUGUGGUGAUGAAGGCCUUCGGGUUGUAAAGCACUUUUGGCGUAGAAGAAACGGCACGGAUAUACCCGUGCAAUCGAUCAGCAUCGCAGAUUAAGCACCGGUUAACGCCAAAGCAGCAGCCGCGGUGGCUAUUGUAGGGUGCAAGCGUUAAUCGGAAUAUUGGGUAAAAGUGUGCAGGCGGUUCGGAAAGAAAGAUGCAAAAUCCAGAGCUUAACUCGAACCGUACUUUUGACCUACUUGAGCUGAGUGCUGAGGGAGGUGGAAUUCCGCAGUAGCAGCGGAAAUGCGUAGAUAUGCGGAGGAACACCGAUGGCGAAGGCAGCCUCCUGGAUAACACUUGACGCUCAUGCACGAAAGCGUGGGGAGCAAACAGGACAUUAGAUACCCUGUAGUCCACGCCCUAAACGAUGUCAAUUAUUGUUGGGGCCUUCGGGCCUGGUAGCGCAGCUAACGCGCAGUUGACCGCCUGGGGAGUACGGGUCGCAGAUUAAAACUCAGCGAAUGAUUGGGACCCGUGUACAAGGUGGAUGAUGUGGAUUAAUUCGACACCGGAAAACCUUUACCUACCCUUGACAUGUCUGGAACCUUGAAGAGAUCAGAGGCUCGCAAGAGGAACCGGAACACAGGUGCACAUGGCUACGUCGUCAGUUCGUGUUUUGAGAUGUUGGGUUAAGUCCCGCAACGAGCGCAACCUUGUCAUUAGUUGCUACGAAAGGGCACUCUAAUGAUCGCCGGUGACAAACCGGAGGAAGGUGGGGAUGACGUCAAGUCCUCAUGGCCUUAUGGGUAGGCCAGCACGUCAUAAUUAUCGUGGACAGGUCGCCAACCCGCGAGGGGAGCUAACCCCAGAAACCGGAUCGUAAAGUCCGGAUCGCAGCCUGCAAAUCGACUGCGUAAGUCGGAAUCGCUAGUAAUCGCGAUCGGGCAAUGUCGCGGUGAAUACGUUCCCGGGUCUUGUACACACCGCCCGUCAGCACCAUGGGAGUGGGUUUCAUCAGAAGUGGAAGGUUAGCCUAACCGUAAGGAGGGCGAUUACCACGGUAGGAUUCAGCGACUGGGCAGUCGUACGAAGGUA
rnacentral:rRNA from 1 species